ensembl:lncRNA
GAAUAGGAAACAGAUGAUGAACGAGGUGCUAAAGCUGCGAUCCCUGGAGACUAGCCCCCAGGAAACCACUGUGGGUGUGUGCAGUACCAGAGGGUCAGGAGUAAGUAAGUGUUCCGCGUAGAAACAUCCCAGCCAUGCAUCAAGGGAGACAGAAUCUUCCAGAACUCAAACCUCAAGAGCACUGAGGACCUCAGCGGUAACAACAAACCUCCUCCUUCUCAUCACGGACGAACUGAGCCCUUGCAUUCGUCUCCCUGGAUCGCUUACAACAAUCACAGAGACAGGCUAUCGACUCCAUGCUACAGAUAGGGCCUGCAGUCAGACCCUUCUCACACGAGCUCCCAGUGUCAGAGCUUCAAGUGGAAGGGAUGGCAAGGCCAUUUUCAUCUGAGGCUGUACCUCUCUGAAGGACCUACGGAGGAGGAACCGCAUCAACUCUGGAGUGCAGACUCUUGGGGCCUUUGGAAGUCUUACGAAUUUCUCUGACAACUAUUUGCAAAGGCCAUAAUCACAGGCAUCUGAAACUGGAUCUCCAGCUACAGGGUAGAACACCACAUAAUUCCAAAAGGCUCCUGGCCCAACCAUAUUUGGUUUCUUGUCUCUCUUGCUUUCUUUAAAAUUGCGCUGAGCCUUCAAUUUGCAG